rnacentral:rRNA from 1 species
GAUGAACGCUGGCGGCGUGCCUAAUACAUGCAAGUCGAGCGAACGGACGAGAAGCUUGCUUCUCUGAUGUUAGCGGCGGACGGGUGAGUAACACGUGGAUAACCUACCUAUAAGACUGGGAUAACUUCGGGAAACCGGAGCUAAUACCGUAUAAUAUUUUGAACCGCAUGGUUCAAAAGUGAAAGACGGUCUUGCUGUCACUUAUAGAUGGAUCCGCGCUGCAUUAGCUAGUUGGUAAGGUAACGGCUUACCAAGGCAACGAUGCAUAGCCGACCUGAGAGGGUGAUCGCCCACACUGGAGCUGAGACACGGUCAAGACUCCUACGGGAGGCAGCAGUCGGGAAUCUUCCGCAAUGGGCGAAAGCCUGACGGAGCAACGCCGCGUGAGUGAUGAAGGUCUUCGGAUCGUAAAACUCUGUUAUUAGGGAAGAACAUAUGUGUAAGUAACUGUGCACAUCUUGACGGUAACUAAUCAGAAAGCCACGGCUAACUACGUG